AAAGAAUAUGAAAACAGAAUACUUGCUACCGUACUAAAAUCUGGAAAGGAUAACUGACAAAACUUUUUGAGUUGUCUCCAGUGACAGAAAAAUGUGCGCAUAAGCAAGCUAAGGGAAUAAAGGUUCUGGCUCACCAUUUCAGAAGCUUCCCGCAAGGUCGACUGCUCCUAUUGCCUUGGGCCUGAAGCAAGACAGAAGCUCACCAGGUCAGGACUGACCGUGUGACACUGCCUACCCGGUGGCAGCCAGGAAGCAAGAAUGAAGAUGAGAGGUCACAAAGGCUGAUGGUGCAGACACAGAAGGACUGGGAGAUGGAAAUUGCAUAAUGGAGAGGACGGUAUGGUGGCAGCCAAAGCACCAAUUGAGCCAUCAUAUCUCCUGGGCACAAAGGAAAACAGAAAGGUGGAACUAGAAGUGGGCUGAGUCUUUAUGCUCUCAAGGUCCACUCCCUAUGACAUACUUCCUCCAACAAGGCUUCACCUCAGGAAGAUUCCAUAACCUCUCCCAAGUAGCUUCACCAGCAAGGAGCCAAGUGCUUGAACUCCCGAACCUGUAAGGGACAUUUUUCAUUCAAACUACCACAGUGAUACAUUAAACAUCAAAAGCAA